AGAGUUUGAUCAUGGCUCAGAUUGAACGCUGGCGGCAGGCCUAACACAUGCAAGUCGAGCGGUAGCACAGAGAGCUUGCUCUCGGGUGACGAGCGGCGGACGGGUGAGUAAUGUCUGGGAAACUGCCUGAUGGAGGGGGAUAACUACUGGAAACGGUAGCUAAUACCGCAUAACGUCGCAAGACCAAAGUGGGGGACCUUCGGGCCUCAUGCCAUCAGAUGUGCCCAGAUGGGAUUAGCUGGUAGGUGGGGUAACGGCUCACCUAGGCGACGAUCCCUAGCUGGUCUGAGAGGAUGACCAGCCACACUGGAACUGAGACACGGUCCAGACUCCUACGGGAGGCAGCAGUGGGGAAUAUUGCACAAUGGGCGCAAGCCUGAUGCAGCCAUGCCGCGUGUGUGAAGAAGGCCUUCGGGUUGUAAAGCACUUUCAGCGGGGAGGAAGGCGGUGAGGUUAAUAACCUCACCGAUUGACGUUACCCGCAGAAGAAGCACCGGCUAACUCCGUGCCAGCAGCCGCGGUAAUACGGAGGGUGCAAGCGUUAAUCGGAAUUACUGGGCGUAAAGCGCACGCAGGCGGUCUGUCAAGUCGGAUGUGAAAUCCCCGGGCUCAACCUGGGAACUGCAUUCGAAACUGGCAGGCUAGAGUCUUGUAGAGGGGGGUAGAAUUCCAGGUGUAGCGGUGAAAUGCGUAGAGAUCUGGAGGAAUACCGGUGGCGAAGGCGGCCCCCUGGACAAAGACUGACGCUCAGGUGCGAAAGCGUGGGGAGCAAACAGGAUUAGAUACCCUGGUAGUCCACGCUGUAAACGAUGUCGAUUUGGAGGUUGUGCCCUUGAGGCGUGGCUUCCGGAGCUAACGCGUUAAAUCGACCGCCUGGGGAGUACGGCCGCAAGGUUAAAACUCAAAUGAAUUGACGGGGGCCCGCACAAGCGGUGGAGCAUGUGGUUUAAUUCGAUGCAACGCGAAGAACCUUACCUGGUCUUGACAUCCACAGAACUUAGCAGAGAUGCUUUGGUGCCUUCGGGAACUGUGAGACAGGUGCUGCAUGGCUGUCGUCAGCUCGUGUUGUGAAAUGUUGGGUUAAGUCCCGCAACGAGCGCAACCCUUAUCCUUUGUUGCCAGCGGUUAGGCCGGGAACUCAAAGGAGACUGCCAGUGAUAAACUGGAGGAAGGUGGGGAUGACGUCAAGUCAUCAUGGCCCUUACGACCAGGGCUACACACGUGCUACAAUGGCAUAUACAAAGAGAAGCGACCUCGCGAGAGCAAGCGGACCUCAUAAAGUAUGUCGUAGUCCGGAUUGGAGUCUGCAACUCGACUCCAUGAAGUCGGAAUCGCUAGUAAUCGUAGAUCAGAAUGCUACGGUGAAUACGUUCCCGGGCCUUGUACACACCGCCCGUCACACCAUGGGAGUGGGUUGCAAAAGAAGUAGGUAGCUUAACCUUCGGGAGGGCGCUUACCACUUUGUGAUUCAUGACUGGGGUGAAGUCGUAACAAGGUAACCGUAGGGGAACCUGCGGUUGGAUCACCU
rnacentral:rRNA from 2 species